UGGGGAAUUUUGGACAAUGGGCGAAAGCCUGAUCCAGCAAUGCCGCGUGUGUGAAGAAGGCCUUCGGGUUGUAAAGCACCUUUGUCCGGAAAGAAAUCCUUGGCUCUAAUACAGUCGGGGGAUGACGGUACCGGAAGAAUAAGCACCGGCUAACUACGUGCCAGCAGCCGCGGUAAUACGUAGGGUGCAAGCGUUAAUCGGAAUUACUGGGCGUAAAGCGUGCGCAGGCGGUUUGCUAAGACCGAUGUGAAAUCCCCGGGCUCAACCUGGGAACUGCAUUGGUGACUGGCAGGCUAGAGUAUGGCAGAGGGGGGUAGAAUUCCACGUGUAGCAGUGAAAUGCGUAGAGAUGUGGAGGAAUACCGAUGGCGAAGGCAGCCCCCUGGGCCAAUACUGACGCUCAUGCACGAAAGCGUGGGGAGCAAACAGGAUUAGAUACCCUGGUAGUCCACGCCCUAAAACGAUGUCAACUAGUUGUUGGGGAUUCAUUUCCUAGUAACGUAGCUAACGCGUGAAGUUGACCGCCUGGGGAGUACGGUCGCAAGAUUAAAACUCAAAUGAAUUGACGGGGUCAUAGCUG
rnacentral:rRNA from 1 species